AAGUCGUAACAAGGUUUCCGUAGGUGAACCUGCGGAAGGAUCACUAAAGAGAACGUGCCCUUCGGGGUAGAUCUCCCACCCUUUGUUUAUUACACUUUGUUGCUUUGGUGGGCCUGCCUUACAGCUGCUGGCGCAAGCUGGCUCGUGCCCGCCAGAGACCCUUAAACUCUGAAUAUUGUCGUCUGAGUAUUAUAUAAUAAGUUAAAACUUUCAACAACGGAUCUCUUGGUUCUG
rnacentral:misc_RNA from 1 species